CCACACCUGCAGCGUAUGGAAGUUCUCAGGCUAGGGGUCAAAUCAGAGCUACAGCUGCCAGCCUACACCACAGCCACAGCAACUCGGGAUCCAGGCUGCAUCUGUGACCUUUAACCAGCUCUUGGCAAUGCCAGAUUCUUAACCCACUGAGUGGGGCGGGGUAUCAAACCCAUGUCCUCAUGGAUGCUAGUUGGAUUCUUAACCUGUUGAGCCACAGUGGGAACUCCAUGAUAUUCCUUCACACUUUUAUGAUUAAAAUCAGGCCAUUAUUAGGACCAGGAGUUCCCGUCGUGGCUCAGUGGUUAACCAAUCCGACUAGGAACCAUGAGGUUUCAGGUUUGAUCCCUGGCCUUGCUCAGUGGGUUAGGGAUCCGGCAUUGCUGUGAGCUGGGGUGUAGGUCGCAGAUGCGGCUUAGAUCCUGCGUUGCUGUGGCUGUGGCAUAGACUGGCGGCUACAACUCUGAUUGGACCCCUAGCCUGGGAACCUCCAUAUGCCACGGGAGCGGUCUUAGAAAAGGCAAAAAGACAAAAAAAAAAUACAAGGCAUUGUUUUUGAUGGUGGGUUUAUGCUGAUUAAAAUAGAGGAUAGAGGUAAGCAGAUAACAUCUCUGCUCUCAUAGAAUUUACAUUCUAGAGCAGUGUGGAAACGAACCCAGUCCAUAAUUUCAAGAGGUCCUGACCGUUAAUUGUUUCAUAGCAGGUAUGUAACUAGGGAGAUUGAAGGGGCAACUCUGGAUUGGUUGAUCCAGGAGGUCUCUAAGAGGUUGACAUUUCAGCUGAGAUCUCAGUGAUCAGGAGUCAGUCAUGGAAAUCAAUACGAAUAAAGAUCUUUGCAGUCAAAGAUACUUAACAAGAAAAGCCUUGGUUGGGAUAGAGUGAAUAAGCAGGGCAGGGAGAGGGGGCAGCAGAUAGCAAGAAGAUAGGGUCAGAUCAUAUAGAGCAUGUCUCAGCAAUCUUUCUCUAAGGGGAUAGAAAGUUAAUACUUAGGCUUUGCAUGCCAUGUGGUCUCUAUCCCAACUAUUUUACUCUGCCCUUAAAGCAUAAAGACAGUAGGCAAUACAUGGCUAUGGCCAGUAAACAGUAUUUACAGAAAAACAUGGUCAGUCAGAUCUGGCCCCCAGGCCAUAGUUUGCUGGUCUCUGAUGUAGAACCUUGUGGGUUUAGUUUAAAGAAUCUGCAUCCUAGUGGGAGAGUCACUGCAGGAUUUUAAGCAGAGAAGUGACAUGGUCUAAUUUAUGUUUUGUUAAUUGGUUAGUUUUUUAAAAUUACUCUGUUUUGAUCCAGGAGGAAUUAGGAAUAGAAACCAGGAAACCAGUCUGGAAGCUAUAGUAGUUCAGGCAAUCAGCAAUCAAUGGUGGCUUCUAUGUAAGUGGUCAUAGGGAGAAAGAAGUACUUAGAGUCAGGAUGCUUUUUGUAAGUAAACAACAGUGCUUGCUAGUGAACCGGUGUGUCAGGGUUUUGUUCUAACAUACAUUUCACAAACAUUUAUCAAGAGAGAGUUACAAUAGACUGCAUUUGCUAUUAAACACAGGGGAGUCAAAGAGAAGAUGCUAAUUCCUUAAAGAAGCUUAGAAAGUAACCAAUUGAAGACAAAAUUAAAAUCAUUGUCUUCUUAGAAUGCCUAGGUGACCUUCCACAAGCCACAACUGAAUUCUUCUUGCUCAAAGAGGAGAAUUGGUGGGUGCAUAGUCCUCUUUUAAAAGCAUUUUGAUAUUCAGCGUAGUAUUUGGUCUCAGUUCUGUGAUGAAAGCAGGUGAGGUGCUAGAAUUUAAAGAUGAGAAAUUGAGGUCUAGUGCAGUGUCCUGUCUCUACAAUGGAGCUUCUAAUAAUGGAAGAAUAAGCUCAUCUGAUUUUUGUUAGAAUUGAAAGGUUCUAUUUUAUAAUUGUUUAUUAGACAGCUACUGUGCUAGGCUGUGCUAGGUGCUAGGAAUAUGAAGGUAAGUAAGAUACCCUUACCUAUUAGGAAUUUGUAGUCUAUUUGCUAUUGUUACCAAGUGUCUGCUCUGUUAUUAGGUACUUUGCUUUUGAUGUGGUAUAAAUGUUAGAAGCUGAACUGUAUUAAAUAAUCAAGUGCAUUAGUGCACUUUGUACACAACUUCUCAGUUGUGGUUCUUCCGUUUAUGUCCAUCAGCUAUCUCAUUCAUCCUUAACAGUGUGUAAGGUAUUAUUACCAUUUUACAAUUUUAGUUUUAGAGGAUGCAAAUGUCCAAGAUUUUGCUCUUCUAAAGGCAGACUCCACCUGACAGUCUUAGAAAUUUUGCAGUUUACCCAGGAAACAAAUAGAGAUAGCUAGAGAUCCUUCAAAACUGACUACAAGCAGUGGCGCCUAGAAGUUAAGGAUCUGGUGUUGCUACAGUUAUGGCUCAAGUCACGCCUGUGGCUCAGGUUUGAUCUCUGACUUUGCAAUUUCCACCUGCCAUAGGCACAGCCAGGGUGGGGUCCGGGGACUGACUUAACUAGCUGAAAAAGUGUAUUACACCCUUUGUUGCCUUAAAAACAGCAGUCUGGCCUUUUCAUCUCUCAAGCAUCAGAUUGGUGGUUCAGGGUUUUCUGUUUAGCAAAGGACACCCUGAAGAAAAAAAUUCAGAAUUGUCCCACUGGAGGAGGCUAUUUACUUUGAAACUGCACUGAUUAUCAAUUCAUCGAUUACAGAGGGGACAACCUCCAUAACCUGCUAUGAAACUUAGAUAAAGGUCCUGUGCUGAAAAUAAAUAAAGGAAGCAGCUUGGAAAAAAAGCAUAGUUAUGGAAAGAGAUGGUGUUCUCCUCUAAUUUUUCCCUGCUUUUAGGUUCAAAAGCUUACCUGGCAGAGAAUCUGAGGUAAUAGUUUUGAAUAUUCUCACACAGAAGUCAUGAUAGCAAAACAAAACCUUGGGCAACUUUGUAGGAAAACUGGGUAUCCCCGUGACCCUCAAAACAAAGGAAAGAAAGGGCAUUCCCUGAUGGUCUUGUGGAUAGGACUCAAACUGACUGCUGCAUCUGGGUUUCAGUCUCUGGUAAGGGAACUAAGACUCCACAUCACGCCAUUGCAUGUCAAGCCCCCCCCCAACCAGAAAAAAAAUCUCACAAAGGAAAGAAAUGACCAAUAACCACAAGAUCUGCGUGGUAAUCACGUUUUGUUCCAGAGAAAGCAAUGGCAUGUCUGAUGUGUCUCAGAACUCCACAAGCACUCAGUCAGAAGUUCAAUGAGCCAUUGUGAAAAUGACAGACUAGGAGGGGCUUGCUGUAUGUACAAAGAAAGGGCACUUGGUUAGAUCUGAAGGGGUUGCAACACUUUGGGCCUAAGAAAAUUUCUAAACAGCAAAGUUCACAGGAUUGAGCACACAGAAUCCAAAUUGAGCAAGACAAUAGAGUUGGAGAGGUAGAGGAUCCCAUUAAAUGAAGUAUUUUGAAUAAGAGUGUGAAACUAGGAUUGUCCAUUUAAUCCAGUAUUACCCUUCUAGGAACAAUAUGAAAGUAUUAAAUAAUUUGUUCUUUAACUCCUGAGAGAAACAAUUGAUCAUAAAUUGGUCAAUUAAAGCUGAAUUUAAACAGCUUUUAUUUUCACAGUCCAUAUUUUAAUAUUUUGCAUGAAAAAAGUACUAUAGAACCUUGAACCUAGGAAAACUAAUAAGUCGUGCCUUCUAAAAGUGCAGGAAAAACUAACUUGUAUAGUAAAUAUGGGCAACAGAAAGGAACAAAGUCAAAAUCCAAACAAGUACAAGAAAGCAGAAUAUCUGCACAGACAAUGAAAGCAUGCUAA
ensembl:lncRNA